AAGUAUGGAACCAAGGAUUCUUCAUGUCACCAAUAGGAGCUGCGACAAUAUAUUUUUUGAUGCAUUUAGUUGGCUUGCAGUUUAUGGUUAUAUAGUAGAAGAGAUAAGCAUAGAGAAAUGGUCGAUCACCCACACUAAUUUCUUGUCCUGAACAGUCUUCUUCAUCUGUUAGUAGCCAUUGUUUUGACAAUCAUAGUAUAAGAGGAUCACCCACAUCAACAGUCAUUGGACCUUCCAAGCAUCGCCAUUCAACUCUCGGGGAUCCCAAUUUUGUGGAGAAUUACUUCAAGCCUUGGGAAGAAAGUUUGCAGGAUGCACACGAGUUUGGAAAACUUGUUCUAUUUCAAAACUUGGAUCCAGCUUACUCUUCAGCAGAAAUGGAG